ACUCUGCAGUUGGGCACAGUUGAGUGAAGACGCAACAUUAUGUGUGGUGAAUUCACAAGUUUCAGCUUUUAUAAGACGCAGAAGCAAGUAUAUGAUUACACUUGGGUAAAUCCAUUUAUGCUUAAGAUUCCCAUGCUGUCAAAGAUCUUUUUGUAAGACGCCCACGGAGAAACUGUGCAACAUGGGUCUGCAAGCAACAAGGUCUUUGGUUGACAUAUAUCAUGCUCAAUUCCAUCUCUUAUAUCAAAUCCGAAUAAAUAUUUCUAUAAUUCCUCGUUAUUUUUUCAUAUUGAUAUAAAAUACACAGUUCAGCAAUAUUAAUGUGGGAAAGGGAAAGAUUACAUAGAUGUGACAACUGUCUCAAAUUCAAUCUGGAAACAUUGUGUAAUUUUAUCUUGGGAAUGAUGGUUUUCCAUAAAACCUGGGGUAUUUAAAAUUGAAAUGGUUUAAAGCUUUGUAAUGAUGCACAGUAUUUUGUAAACAAAAACUUGGACAUUAAAGCUCUAACCCGCUGAAAGAAUAUCUAAAUUUCAAUAUGAAGUAUAAAUUUACAAUCUUGCUAUCUAUUCAUAAGCUUUUGAUUUGUUUGUAGCAACAUGCAUGUCACCCCUCAAAUGGAAUGGGAUCAUCCCAUCUGUCACAACUCGAAUGUAAUGGAAUCGCCCCACCUGUCUCCCCUUGAGUGAAGUGAAAUCGUCCCACCUGUCACCCCUCAAAUGGAAUGAAAUCAGCCUACCUGUCACCCCUCAAAUGAAGUGAACUCGCCCCACUUGACACCCCUUAAAUGG